UUUUUUUGGGAUAGGUAAGGGUAAUACGCAAGUAUGACCUAAUUUAGGGAGUCUUCUUAUGAUAGACUAGCUCUACAUUUAGACUACUCAAUUCCCUCACUUACGUUCUAGGUAAUGGUUCUCAGAGUCAUGAACCAUAUCCAAAUCAUCAAUAUAUUAGGAGUUAUCCCUACUAUGAAGAGAUCUUUGGGGGGUCUAUUCUGAGUAUAACUUCCAUGUAUCUUUGAGAUGUGGUAUCUCACAGAAAACAUUUCAGUUUUACUUCUUAACUAAGGGUUUU
rnacentral:lncRNA from 1 species